UGGCCUUGGUGUACGUCAAUAUUUAAAAAUGUUGGUUAAAUGUUAAUUAAUUAGUUCCAACCAGUUAUCAUCGCUGCAUUAGGAAAUAUAAAAAUGCUAUUCACAAAACGCCAUCCUAAAAAAAUUAAACAUUCAUAAAAGUACUUCUAGCUAACAGAGGUGGGUAAUUAAGUUGUAGUAUUCAGUAGUAAUUAACAUAUCUAUUAUCUAUGAACACAUUAUUACAACAAUAUUCUCUCACUAUGAUGUUGGAAAAUUAAUAAUACCAUUUGUAAUUAUCUUUUUAAUCUUACAUUGUAAUCACUCUAACGUCUUUCAAGAACAGUAAUAAAUCAUAUAUGGUUUGCACAUAAAUAAU
rnacentral:lncRNA from 1 species